rnacentral:rRNA from 1 species
UACGUAGGCAGCGAGCGUUGUUCGGAGUUACUGGGCGUAAAGCGUGCGUAGGCGGUGUUCCAAGUCUGUUGUGAAAUCUCCCGGCUUAACUGGGAGGGUGCGGCGGAAACUGGAACGCUGGAGUAUGGGAGAGGUAAGCGGAAUUCCUGGUGUAGCGGUGAAAUGCGUAGAUAUCAGGAGGAACACCUGCGGUGUAGACGGCUUACUGGACCAUAACUGACGCUGAGGACGAAAGCGUGGGUAGCAAACAGG